UUAACUAAACGCUCUUCUAAGGAAGUAGAAUUCGAAGCCUCUUCAAGAUCAAACAGAUUCUCCUACUAAACCCCUAUUGCGUAAAGUCUUCAUCGUACAGAGUGGCAACUUGUAAUUAACAUCGAAUAUUUAUGCUUGGGUAUACGGGCCAGGGGUAUACACUAAACCUGGACCUCCUAAAACCUGAAGCCAGCUGAAAUCAGAUGGUUAGAGAGUGGU
rnacentral:ribozyme from 1 species